GAGGUUACUGCUAUCGGUGUUCGUCUCACGCCAUGCGAGUCAUAUGUUCGUAAGAACCAUGGGCGUACUGCUCAGUACGACGUGGAUCACGCUGCUCUUAGUGGUCCGGCAUACCCCCGGGAAAGUGGGGAUAAUUCCGGGGUAACGCACAUAUGCUGGAACGCUUUUAUGCGUAAAAUGGAUUCGUCUCCCCAGAGGAUGGUGUCUGCGGCCUAUCAGGUAGUAGUGGGUGUAAUGUACCUACUAGCCUACGACGGGUACGGGUUGUGAGAGCAAGAGCCCGGAGAUGGAUUGUGAGACAUGAAUCCAGGCCUUACGGGGCGCAGCAGGCGCGAAAACUUUACAAUGCGGGAACCCGUGAUAAGGGGACACCGAGUGCCAGCAUCUUAUGCUGGCUGUCCGGGUGUGUAAAAUACACCUGUUAGCAAGGGCCGGGCAAGACCGGUGCCAGCCGCCGCGGUAACACCGGCGGCCCGAGUGGUGAUCGUGAUUAUUGGGUCUAAAGGGUCCGUAGCCGGUUUGGUCAGUCCUCCGGGAAAUCUGACAGCUUAACUGUUAGGCUUUCGGAGGAUACUGCCAGACUUGGAACCGGGAGAGGUAAGAGGUACUACAGGGGUAGGAGUGAAAUCUUGUAAUCCCUGUGGGACCACCUGUGGCGAAGGCGUCUUACCAGAACGGGUUCGACGGUGAGGGACGAAAGCUGGGGGCACGAACCGGAUUAGAUACCCGGGUAGUCCCAGCCGUAAACGAUGCUCGCUAGGUGUCAGGCAUGGCGCGACCGUGUCUGGUGCCGCAGGGAAGCCGUGAAGCGAGCCACCUGGGAAGUACGGCCGCAAGGCUGAAACUUAA
rnacentral:rRNA from 1 species